AUUGAACGCUGGCGGCAGGCCUAACACAUGCAAGUCGAACGAGUGGCGGACGGGUGAGUAAUGUCUGGGAAACUGCCUGAUGGAGGGGGAUAACUACUGGAAACGGUAGCUAAUACCGCAUACCAUCAGAUGUGCCCAGAUGGGAUUAGCUAGUUGGUGGGGUAACGGCUCAUCAAGGCGACGAUCCCUAGCUAGUCGGUGAGGAUGACCGGCCACACUGGAACUGAGACACGGUCAAGACUCCUACGGGAGGCAGCAGAGGGGAAUAUUGCACAAUGGGCGCAGGCCUGAUGCAGCCAUGCCGCGUGUAUGAAGAAGGCCUUCGGGUUGUAAAGUACUUUCAGCGGGGAGGCGUUACCCGCAGAAGAAGCACCGGCUAACUCCGUGCCAGCAGCCGCGGUAUAC
rnacentral:rRNA from 1 species